UACGAAGGUCCCAAGCGUUAUCCGGAUUUAUUGGGUUUAAAGGGUGCGUAGGCGGACUAUUAAGUCAGUGGUGAAAGCCCCCAGCCUAACUGGGGAACUGCCAUUGAUACUGAUGGUCUUGAGUACAUUUGAGGUGGGCGGAAUGUGUCAUGUAGCGGUGAAAUGCUUAGAUAUGACACAGAACACCGAUUGCGAAGGCAGCUCACUAAACUGUAACUGACGCUGAGGCACGAAAGCGUGGGGAGCAAACGGG
rnacentral:rRNA from 1 species